rnacentral:rRNA from 1 species
CCUACGGGUGGCAGCAGUGGGGAAUAUUGCACAAUGGGGGAAACCCUGAUGCAGCGACGCCGCGUGAGUGAAGAAGUAUCUCGGUACGGAAAGCUCUAUCAGCAGGGAAGAAAAUGACGGUACGUGACUAAGAAUGCACGGAUCACUACGUGCCAGCAGCCGCGGUAAUACGUAGGAGGCAAGCGUUAUCCGGAUUUACUGGGUGUAAAGGGAGCGUAGACGGCAGCACAAGUCUGGAGUGAAAUCCCGGGGCUUAACCCCGAAACUGCGUUGGAAACUGGGAGGCUGGAGUGCAGGAGGGGUAAGCGGAAUUCCUAGUGUAGCGGUGAAAUGCGUAGAUAUUAGGAGGAACACCGGUGGCGAAGGCGGCUUACUGGACUGUAACUGACGUUGAGGCUCGAAAGCGUGGGGAGCAAACAGGAUUAGAUACCCGUGUAGUC